AAAAAAUAUGACAAAUUGUGGUAAUUAUUGACUUUACAUAGAUUUUGUUUAUGUGUAAUUUGAAAAUGUGUAAAGAUAAUCCGACGAGCUUAAAGGACAGAUAAUGCUGUCGAUCUUACUCAGUAAUCCGACGUCUUCUCUGUGGAAAUAAAGUGCGUUUUGCUUUCAAUUGCUCUGUUCGAUUUGCUGCUCUGGGUCAAGGGAUCGUCACGCUUUCUGGAUGAAGAGUGUGCAUUAAUUAAGACUCCAGGAGUUGAAUUCAGUAAAAAAAUAUUUACUAGGAUGUGCAAUGCUUCUGGAAUUUACACGAACGUUGCAAGCUACCAGUACUGGAUUACAUCGAAUACACGGAAUGAAACCAAACAAGAUAACGAAGCUAAUUAUAAUUUGGGGAAUUCUGUUGGUGGAUGGAACAGUCUCUCAUAUGAAGGUUGCUUUGAAGUCCGUUUUGAAGGCUUAAAAAUUCCGAAGGAACCCUGGAGGGUAUAUGAAUCACGGGAGCAUGCUCUUCUCUGGGAGCAUUUGAAACAGACCGAUAUGUCAUAACAGCUGCCAGUGCCUUGAGCAAUCAUUCUCCAUCCAGCUUAAAAUUGAUAGUCAAUAAGCAGACAAUUUUUGUGGAAUCAAUUGUCAGGCAUCCUGAGUUCAAAGCAGUUUCUCAAUCAUUUGUUAACGAUAUAGCUUUGAUCAGACUUACAGAAAGGGUUCUAUUCACAGACCCUAUAGGAGCGCUUUGCUUAGGAUCAAAUUCUGAGCCUCAAAAGGGCUUGAGUCUUGUCGUUAGUACAGGUGGAAUACAUUCUCAGGAGCCCGUACAGCGUAUUGAUCCUUAUGUUUGCGAAAGAUCAAUUGAAAGGAAAGUGGAAAGUCGUCAAUUCUGCACAAAUCGGUCUAAUAAUAACUUAUUCCGAUUGCCAGGAGGCGGAGUGGGUACAAUUGGAAAAAUUGGUGACAAUUAUAUACACUUUACAUCUGCCAUACGUAUUAAGAGCUAUGAUAACGUGAGUGUUUUUACAGAUGUUACCUAUUACCGUCAAUGGAUUCAAAACACUAUUAAAGAAUAAUAAUAA